rnacentral:rRNA from 1 species
UACGUAGGGUGCAAGCGUUUGUCCGGAAUUAUUGGGCGUAAAGAGCUCGUAGGCGGUUUGUCGCGUCUGCUGUGAAAACCCGAGGCUCAACCUCGGGCCUGCAGUGGGUACGGGCAGACUAGAGUGCGGUAGGGGAGAUUGGAAUUCCUGGUGUAGCGGUGAAAUGCGCAGAUAUCAGGAGGAACACCCGUGGCGAAGGCGGCUCUCUGGGACGGUACUGACGCUGAGACGCGAAAGCGUGGGGAGCGAACAGG